GAGCGAGUUCCAAACCUAGGCCUCAACACGUUUGCUUAUUUCUGCUUGCUUUUAGACCUUUGCUGUUGCCAGAACAUAGCUCAGGAUAGCCCACUGGACUCCAAAGGAGGAUGAAGGAAAAGUGGUGCAGAGUUGAGACCAUAGCAAAACUCAGCCUAGAUCAGCCAACUCCCAGGUAUGUGAGCAAGCAAAUCGGAGAUUGACAGAGUUGCCCAGGCUAUCCCAGAUUAGAUCAACCAAUCCUUGGAUGUGUGAGCCAGUACAUCUGUGAUAAGAACUGUCCAGCUGAGCCUGACCUAGAUACACCAACCCUUAGAUGUAUGAGCAAACAAAAUUGUGAUUAGCAGAUCUGUCCUGCAGCUUCCAGCCUUGAUUACUUGAGCCACAGUGUUGUGAGCCAAACAAAAUGCUUACCAUUUAUGCCACUGAGAUUUUGUGUUGGUUUGCCACAUAGUGCUACUGUGGCCAUAGUUGACUGAUAAGUUGUGUACAAACAUGUAAAAAGUUCUGUAAUAUUAUGUCAUAACAAGAAUUCUAUUAUCACGAGUGAAGACCAAACAGAUUUACAUUAUCUAUAUCUAUUUAUGUUACCUGUAUUUAUUAUCAUGAAUGAAGACCAAACAGAUUUGCAGAAUAUUACACAGAUGUGUACAAUCUGAAUGAUUUUAUUUCCAUCUCUCAACCUGUUUACUUAUCAUAACUCUAAAACUAACUAUAUUGUCUAAUAAAAAUUGUCAGGAAUUAAGCCAACUAUGAGAAUCUAAAUUCCUGAAAAUCUAAAUCUAAAUUCAGAAAGCUCUUGUUUUAAAUCACAAUUUUAGGCAUCCAGUUGUUUAUAUGAAAGUUACUCUUCAACAUUCAGCCUUGGAUUUCGGAGGAAGAGGAUACGUGGAGUUAUUGUACACAGUCCUGGAAGCCAUAUCUGUGCAGAUUUCUACAUAUUAACAUGCAGUUAGCAUUUGACCUGAAAGGGCUGGGAAUGACCAUCAUAAGAACACUCUCAACUCCUGGAGAAAGAGGUUGCAGAAAGCAUGGUGGCAUUGGCUCUCAGAGGAGUCAAGACCUUGGGGGUUAGCAGGUAUGACUUUAGCACAGUGACAGUUGAGCAGUGGUAAUAGUUGUAGUGAUGCUGAUGGUAAGAAAUGGGU
rnacentral:lncRNA from 1 species